rnacentral:tRNA from 1 species
CAAGGUAUGAAAAAUUUUAACUCCCACCCCUAACUCCCAAAGCUAGGAUUCUAAGUUAAACUACUCUUUG